CUUAAAUCUUUUGGCCCAGCUCCUACCUCCCGGCAGCCUUGCCAGGCCCAGAACUCUCUCCAGUCAGCCUCUACAGACCAAGCUCAUGACUCACAAUGGCCUAUUUAGGCCCAUACCCUACCUCACGGCAGUCUCCGCAGAUGAGCCUACUGCCUCACAACAGCCUCCACAGGCACAGCUCCAUCGUUCCAAUGGCCUCUUUAGACCCAGCUCCUGCCUCCCAGCCUUGUCUCCAGGCCCUGAACUUUCUCCGGUCUCCCUCUGUUGUCCAAGGCUGGAGGGUAGUAGUGCUAUCGCAGCUGACUGCAGCCUCAACCUUCCAGGCUGAAGCGAUCCUCCCAUCUCAACCUCCCACGUGGCUGAGACUACAGGUGCUUGCCACUACGCCCAACUAAUAUUUGGUUUUUUCAUAUACGUGGAUUCCAGAGGGGUGACAGCGAAACGUGAGUGGGACCAUCCAGUUUCAGGAAAACAAGCUUAACACGCCCACUGACUCUACAUUAUGAUUCUUCAGGCCCAGCAUCUGCCUCACUGUGGACCCCCCAAGCCAAGCUCCCAACCUUUCAGCAGCUUCUACACACCCAGCUCCCGCCUGCCAGUGGCCUCUUCAGGCCCAUGGGGCUCAUUCCUCACAACAGCCUUUCCAGUCCCAGUUUUUCCCUUCCGGCGGCCUCUCCGGGCUGAGAACCUCCUCAAGUCGGCCUCUCCUGACUCACUUGCACCCUCCAGGCGUCCUCUCCGGGCCAAGCUCCUCUUCCUGGCUGCGUCUCCAGGCCCGACUCCUGCCUCUCAACAACCUCUUUGGACUCAGUGCCUACCCAUCUCCUGGCGUCCUUGGUCGGCCCACAGCUUCCUCAAGCCAAGCUCCCCAGGCCCAGGUCAGGCCUCACGGUGCCCCCUCCACGAUGAGCUCCUGCCCUCCAAUGGCACCUGCAGGACCCAAAUGGUCUCCGGUCGGUGGACUCCUCCACGCCAAGCUUGGGCCUCCCGGUGACCUCUGCAGGCCCAAGUUGUCCUGAAGUCGGCAUCUCCCAGCCAUGCCUCCCAGCAAGUAAGCAAGCUCUUUUGGCUCAACUCCUGCCCAGCUCCCAACCGCCUUUGUAGGUCCCGAACUUUCUCCAGCCAAGUUCUUUGGGCCUCAUUCCUGCCGCCCGGUGGCCUGUACGGGCCCAGCAAUGGUUGGAGAACGGCCUCUGCAGGUCCCGCUCUUGCCUCCCAGGGGCCUCUCCAGGCCCAGCUCUUGCCCCCACGGCGGCCACCUGGGGCCAAGUCCCUGCCUGCCUCCCAGCAGCCCGCAUGCGGCCCAGCUCCUCCCUCAUGGUGGCCUGUUGAUGCUCAUGCCUCUGGUACCCUGCCCAGAGGCAUGAGCCCCUGCCACACACUGGCUCCUCCCACGCUGAGAGAGGUCAGCGUGAGCCCUUGCCUCACACCGGCCCCUCCCAUGCUGAGAGAGGUCAGCGUGAGCCCCUUGCCUCACACUGGCUCCUCCCACGCUGAGAGAGGUCAGCGUGAGCCCUUGCCUCACACCGGCCCCUCCCAUGCUGAGAGAGGUCGGCGUGAGCCCUUGACUCACACCGGCCCCUCCCACGGUGAGAGAGGUCAGCGUCAGCCCCUUGCCUCACCCCGGCCCCUCCCACGCUGAGAGAGGUCGGCAUGAGCCCCUUGCCUCACCCCGGCCCCUCCCACGGUGAGAGAGGUCGGCGUGAGCCCCUUGCCUCACCCCGGCCCCUCCCACGCUGAGAGAGGUCGGCAUGAGCCCUUGCCUCACACCGGCCCCUCCCACGGUGAGAGAGGUCAGCGUCAGCCCCUUGCCUCACACCGGCCCCUCCCACGCUGAGAGAGGUCAGCGUGAGCCCUUGACUCACACCGUCCCCUCCCACGGUGAGAGAGGUCAACGUGAGCCCCUUGCCUCACACCGGCCCCUCCCACGCUGAGAGAGGUCAGCGUGAGCCCUUGACUCACACCGUCCCCUCCCACGCUGAGAGAGGUCAACGUGAGCCCCUUGCCUCACACCGGCCCCUCCCACGCUGAGAGAGGUCAACGUGAGCCCCUUGCCUCACACCGUCCCCUCCCACGCUGAGAGAGGUCAACGUGAGCCCCUUGCCUCACACCGUCCCCUCCCACGCUGAGAGAGGUCAACGUGAGCCCCUUGCCUCACACGGGCCCCUCCCACGCUGAGAGAGGUCAGCGUGAGCCCUUGCCUCACACCGGCCCCUCCCACGCUGAGAGAGGUCAGCGUGAGCCCUUGCCUCACACCGGCCCCUCCCACGCUGAGAGAGGUCGGCGUGAGCCCCUUGCCUCACCCCGGCCCCUCCCACGCUGAGAGAGGUCGGCGUGAGCCCCUUGCCUCACACCGGCCCCUCCCACGCUGAGAGAGGUCGGCGUGAGCCCUUGCCUCACACCGGCCCCUCCCACGCUGAGAGAGGUCGGCGUGAGCCCUUGCCUCACACCGGCCCCUCCCACGCUGAGAGAGGUCGGCGUGAGCCCUUGCCUCACACCGGCCCCUCCCACGGUGAGAGAGGUCAGCGUCAGCCCCUUGCCUCACACCGGCCCCUCCCACGCUGAGAGAGGUCAGCGUGAGCCCUUGACUCACACCGGCCCCUCCCACGCUGAGAGAGGUCAGCGUGAGCCCUUGCCUCACACCGGCCCCUCCCACGCUGAGAGAGGUCAGCGUGAGCCCCUUGCCUCACCCCGGCCCCUCCCACGCUGAGAGAGGUUGGCGUGAGCCCUUGCCUCACACCGGCCCCUCCCACGCUGAGAGAGGUCGGCGUGAGCCCCUUGCCUCACACCGGCCCCUCCCACGCUGAGAGAGGUCGGCGUGAGCCCUUGCCUCACACCGGCCCCUCCCACAGUGAGAGAGGUCAGCGUCAGCCCCUUGCCUCACACCGGCCCCUCCCACGCUGAGAGAGGUCAGCGUGAGCCUUUGCCUCACACCGGCCCCUCCCACGCUGAGAGAGGUCAGCGUGAGCCCCUGCCUCAACAGGCCACCGUGAGGGAGGAGCAGGGUCGCACGCGGGCUGCUGUGAGGCAGGCAGCGACUUGGGCCUGGGAGGUCGUGGUGGGGUGAGAGCUGGGCUUGGAGACUCCCCUGGGAGGCAACCGCGGGGCCUACAGACUCUGUUCUCCAGCCGGAGCUGGGACUGUUCAGGUACUGGGAGGUGGGAUGUGGGUCUGAAGAGCUUGGUUGCAGAAACUUCGGGGUCUACAAACGCAGGUGGGAGCUGAGCCAAAAAAGCUUGUUUGCUGGGAGGCGGGAGAUGCAGCCAGGAGAAACAGCUGUGCCUGCAGAGGCCGCCAUGCGGGAGGCGGAGGCCGGGCCUCCUCAAAUCGGCCUCUCCAGACCCACUUGCAGCCUCCCGGCAUCCUCUCCGGGCCCAGCUCUUCCUCCUGGCUGCGUCUCCAGGCCUGACUCUGGCCUCCCAACAACGUCUUUGGACUCAGCUCCUGCCCAGCUCCCAGCAGGCCCAAGUUGUCGUCAAGUCGGCCUGGAAUUGGGCCCGGAAGAGCAGCAAGUCGGCCUCCCUGGGCCCAGCUCCGUCCUCUAGGCGGCCUCUCCAGGUGCAAAACUUCCUCGAGUCAGCCUCUCCAGGCCCAGCUCCUCCUGCCUCCCAGUGGCCUCUUUCAGCCCAGACCAGCUCAUGGCUCUUGGCGGCCUUCCCAGGCCCCGCUUUUGACUUUUGGUGGCCUCUUCAGGCCCAGAACUUGACCUCCAGUGGGCCUUUGCAGGCCCGGCCUCCUGCCUCUCGAAGGCCUGCAGGGGCCCGGACUCACAGCGGACUCACAGCGGACUCUCCAUGCCCAGCUAGCUCUCGCCUCAUUGUGGCCUCCCGAGUCCAAAGCUCCUGCCUCUCGGCCGCUUCGGCAGGCCCAGCUCCCGCCUGCCAGUGGCCUCUUUAGGCCCAGCUCGUUCCUCACAACGGCCUUCCCAGGCCCCGUUUUUCCCUUCUGGCAGCCUCUUGGCCUCUAAUUUGUUUAUCUUUUGUGUAUAAAUCCCAAAAUAUUGAAUUUUGGAAUAUUUCCACCAUUAUGUAAAUAUUUUGGUAGGUGAUUUAUUUGGGGUGAGUUUCUGCACCAAGCCCGAAUUUUUUAUUUUAUUUUCCUUAUUAUUUGGUGUUAAACAGGUUUAAUGACGGUCAUGGCAACUGUUUGGCACAAUGAAAAAUAUCGCCCAUGA